UACGUAGGCAGCAAGCGUUGUUCGGAGUUACUGGGCGUAAAGGGUGCGUAGGCGGUUGUUUAAGUUUGGUGUGAAAUCUCCCGGCUCAACUGGGAGGGUGCGCCGAAUACUGAAUGACUAGAGUGCGGGAGAGGAGAGUGGAAUUCCUGGUGUAGCGGUGAAAUGCGUAGAUGAUCGGGAGGAACACCAGUAGGCGAAGG
rnacentral:rRNA from 1 species